AAAGCUCCCCCUUGAAUUCGACAAUGUGUUUAGCUCUCUGUUGAUCACAUCUCAGACAAGGAAGAUUAGGUGAAGGCACAGGAAGGAUACUCCAAGUAUGUUUCUGUGGAUCAAAUACCCCUACCAAAUUAUCAGAAGAUUCACUCAAACAAUAGAAUAACCCAUUACAGAAAACUGGACCAUCCCCACAACAAAAUAUGGCACCAUCAGUAUUUUGGUA